rnacentral:ncRNA from 1 species
UACAAAACGUUGAUUAGGAAAAGUACUGAACUUCAAGAUGCAUAGCGAGAUAACGAUUGGUGGAAGGUUAUCCAGGCGAAGUAAAGGAAACGCACCUAGGAGUGUUUAUGGGAAGUUAGUAUCAUAAACCGUUGAUCCUCGUUACGGAUAAAGGUGGGUAGCAAUGCUAUCAACUAGAGUGGUACCGCGUGUGUUAGGCGUCUCUGGA